rnacentral:rRNA from 1 species
CGAUGAACCGCACUUCGGGCGGGGAUUAGUGGCGAACGGGUGAGUAACACGUGGGCAAUCUGCCCUGCACUCUGGGACAAGCCCUGGAAACGGGGUCUAAUACCGGAUACAACCGCUUCGGGCAUCCGAGGGCGGUGGAAAGCUCCGGCGGUGCAGGAUGAGCCCGCGGCCUAUCAGCUUGUUGGUGAGGUAACGGCUCACCAAGGCGACGACGGGUAGCCGGCCUGAGAGGGCGACCGGCCACACUGGGACUGAGACACGGCCCAGACUCCUACGGGAGGCAGCAGUGGGGAAUAUUGCACAAUGGGCGCAAGCCUGAUGCAGCGACGCCGCGUGAGGGAUGACGGCCUUCGGGUUGUAAACCUCUUUCAGCAGGGAAGAAGCGCAAGUGACGGUACCUGCAGAAGAAGCGCCGGCUAACUACGUGCCAGCAGCCGCGGUAAUACGUAGGGCGCGAGCGUUGUCCGGAAUUAUUGGGCGUAAAGAGCUCGUAGGCGGCUUGUCGCGUCGGUUGUGAAAGCCCGGGGCUUAACCCCGGGUCUGCAGUCGAUACGGGCAGGCUAGAGUUCGGUAGGGGAGAUCGGAAUUCCUGGUGUAGCGGUGAAAUGCGCAGAUAUCAGGAGGAACACCGGUGGCGAAGGCGGAUCUCUGGGCCGAUACUGACGCUGAGGAGCGAAAGCGUGGGGAGCGAACAGGAUUAGAUACCCUGGUAGUCCACGCCGUAAACGGUGGGCACUAGGUGUGGGCGACAUUCCACGUCGUCCGUGCCGCAGCUAACGCAUUAAGUGCCCCGCCUGGGGAGUAC